AGAGCCGCCCAAGGGCUGGCGAUGGCGUACUUGGCUUGGAGACUGGCGCAGCGUUCGUGUCCGAGGUCACUAGUUUCCCGGUAGUUCAGCUGCACAUGAAUAGAACAGCAAUGAGAGCCAGUCAGAAGGACUUUGAAAAUUCAAUGAAUCAAGUGAAACUCUUGAAAAAGGAUCCAGGAAACGAAGUGAAGCUGAAACUCUAUGCGCUAUAUAAGCAGGCCACUGAAGGACCUUGUAACAUGCCCAAACCAGGUGUAUUUGACUUGAUCAACAAGGCCAAAUGGGACGCAUGGAAUGCCCUUGGCAGCCUGCCCAAGGAAGCUGCCAGGCAGAACUAUGUGGAUUUGGUGUCCAGUUUGAGUCCUUCACUGGAAUCCUCUAGUCAGGUGGAGCCUGGAACAGACAGGAAAUCAACUGGGUUUGAAACUCUGGUGGUGACCUCCGAAGAUGGCAUCACAAAGAUCACGUUCAACCGGCCCAAAAAGAAAAAUGCCAUAAACACUGAGAUGUAUCAUGAAAUUAUGCGUGCACUUAAAGCUGCCAGCAAGGAUGACUCAAUCAUCACUGUUUUAACAGGAAAUGGUGACUAUUACAGUAGUGGGAAUGAUCUGACUAACUUCACUGAUAUUCCCCCUGGUGGAGUAGAGGAGAAAGCUGAAAAUAGUGCCGUUUUACUGAGGUAAGAGUAACUGACCUUUGUCUGAUCCCAGAGGGCCCGUUCUUAGUCAUCAAAGUGGUAUUUAGUUGAUCAAAAGUGCAAUAUCUGCUGCUCUGUGUCAGUGCAGUUAAUUGUGACUUUGGAUAAGCAUAUUUCUCUAAACUGCCUCCAUCCAUAGGUGGGCAUUCAUUCUUUCUCUUUGACCUCUGUUACCUGUUCAUCCUGCCGGUCUCAUGAGAUUUGACUGGAAAACAUAAAAGUGAGCUAUAGUUGUAAACAAAAUUAUCUUGCAUUGAGGCAGAGGAAUUUAGCAAAUUCUCAUCCAGCCAGAGGAAUGGGAGACUUCCAUGAACGCUGAAAGUAGGAGACUCGGAGGAGUCUUGUAAACACAGGAGGAGGUCAUGAAGGCUUUCCUCUUUAUUCCUGCCAAAUCUGUAAUUCCCACUUGCUGUGAUAUUGCAGCAUGUGCUCACUCACCCAACCUAAUCUCCAAGACUGCGGCUGGUUUACAGCCCUGAACUCACUGUCCAGAAUACAAGAUUCAAACCAGGGUUGACCCAUAGGUCUCACUGGUUGGUCUUCCAUCCACUGCCAUUCAGACGGAUGCCCUGGAUGAAUCUGGUGCGGAAGACCAGGGGAGUGGCAGGACAGGGAGGCACUGCUGGUGGUGGCUGUGGAAAUACCCAGCCUGACAGAAGGCUUUAUCUCAGAGUCAGACUGUCUUGCCCAUGCUUCAGUCAUGCUGCUUUGGCACAUUUAAUGAUUUUGUGUUUCCAUUUCUGUAGGGAAUUUGUGGGCUGUUUUAUAGAUUUUCCUAAGCCUCUGAUUGCAGUGGUCAAUGGUCCAGCUGUGGGCAUCUCCGUCACCCUCCUUGGGCUAUUCGAUGCCGUGUAUGCAUCUGACAGGGCAACAUUUCAUACACCAUUUAGUCACCUAGGCCAAAGUCCGGAAGGAUGCUCCUCUUAUACUUUUCCGAAGAUAAUGAGCCCAGCCAAGGCAACAGAGAUGCUUAUUUUUGGAAAGAAGUUAACAGCGGGAGAGGCAUGUGCUCAAGGACUUGUUACUGAAGUUUUCCCUGAUAGCACUUUUCAGAAAGAAGUCUGGACCAGGCUGAAGGCAUUUGCAAAGCUUCCCCCAAAUGCCGUGAGAAUUUCAAAAGAGGUAAUCAGGAAGAGAGAGAGAGAAAAACUACACACUGUUAAUGCUGAAGAAUGCAAUGUCCUUCAGGGAAGAUGGCUAUCAGAUGAAUGCACAAAUGCUGUGGUGAACUUCUUAUCCAGAAAAUCAAAACUGUGAUGACCACUACAGCAGAGUAAAGCAUGUCCAAGGAAGGAUGUGCUGUUACCUCUGAUUUCCAGUACUGGAACUAAAUAAGCUUCAUUGUGCCUUUUGUAGUGCUAGAAUAUCAAUUACAAUGAUGAUAUUUCACUACAGCCCUGAUGAAUAAAAAGUUUUGUAAAAGAA
rnacentral:sRNA from 1 species